rnacentral:tRNA from 1 species
UGAGAUGUACCUCAGUGGUAGAGCAUUUGCCUAGCAUAUGCAAGGACCUGGGUUCCAUUCCCAGCACAG